rfam:Sorghum bicolor cultivar BTx623 chromosome 2, whole genome shotgun sequence.
UUCCAUGGUGAGGACAAUAUGAUAUGUAUCCUUGAAAACGCUCCCAUGCUUCUUGAAUGGUUUAUGUCUUCAGCUGUUGGAAACUGACAAUAUUUCUUCUUAAGGCA